rnacentral:rRNA from 1 species
AGGGUUUGAUCAUGGCUCAGGACGAACGCUGGCGGCGUGCCUAAUACAUGCAAGUCGAGCGGACUUGAAGGAGUGCUUGCACUCCUGAGAGUUAGCGGCGGACGGGUGAGUAACACGUAGGCAACCUGCCCUCAAGACUGGGAUAACUACCGGAAACGGUAGCUAAUACCGGAUAAUUUAUUUCACAGCAUUGUGGAAUAAUGAAAGACGGAGCAAUCUGUCACUUGGGGAUGGGCCUGCGGCGCAUUAGCUAGUUGGUGGGGUAACGGCUCACCAAGGCGACGAUGCGUAGCCGACCUGAGAGGGUGAACGGCCACACUGGGACUGAGACACGGCCCAGACUCCUACGGGAGGCAGCAGUAGGGAAUCUUCCGCAAUGGGCGAAAGCCUGACGGAGCAACGCCGCGUGAGUGAUGAAGGUUUUCGGAUCGUAAAGCUCUGUUGCCAAGGAAGAACGUCUCAUAGAGUAACUGCUAUGAGAGUGACGGUACUUGAGAAGAAAGCCCCGGCUAACUACGUGCCAGCAGCCGCGGUAAUACG